CUCAGUUUAUGCAGAUUGUUCUGCUCUGAGCUACAUAAUGUUGGUGCUGCGUGUGGCUGAACUCGUCCUCAUCACUGUUGUUACUGUUCUUCUCUUCAGAGCUCGAGCAGGGAACCAGAGAGCACCUGAUGACCACACUGUUUCUUACUCAGUAAGAAGCAGAACAGCGAGGCGUUCAGGUCCAGCAGCCAGUCAGGUAAAUAUCUGAUGGUGCGUUCAGGGUCUGCUGACUCCACUGUGACCUGUGUUCAGUUUUUAAACUUCAACAGUCAGCUGGGAGGAAAAUCUGGGAGUUUGAGGCUCUUUCAAAUUCAUUAAUUUGUAUAUGUGAGAUUAUUUCUGAUUGUGUUGAAUGUG